rnacentral:rRNA from 1 species
GGCAAAAUGAGAGUCCGACUGUCUCUUAUAACAAAUCAAUUAAACUGAUCUCCCUGUACAAAAGCCGGGAUAUCACCAUAAGACCAGAAGACCCUGUGAAGCUUUAACUAACCUAUUAAACCAAAUAAUAACUAUUUUCGGUUGGGGCGACCUUGGAACAAAAAAGAACUUCCAAAUAUAUGACUUCCUCAUACUAAGGCAAACAAGCCACAUUAGACCCAGUAUAUCUGAUAAAUGAACCAAGUUACUCCAGGGAUAACAGCGCUAUCUUCUUCAAGAGCCCAUAUCAAAAAGAAGGUUUACGACCUCGAUGUUGGAUCAGGACAUCCUAGCAAUGCAACCGUUACUAAGGGUUCGUUUGUUCAACGAUUAACAGUCCUACGUGA